rnacentral:rRNA from 1 species
UACGUAGGGUGCGAGCGUUGUCCGGAAUUAUUGGGCGUAAAGAGCUCGUAGGCGGUGUGUCGCGUCGGCCGUGAAAACCUGCAGCUUAACUGUGGGCUUGCGGUCGAUACGGGCAUCACUGGAGUUCGGCAGGGGAGACUGGAAUUCCUGGUGUAGCGGUGAAAUGCGCAGAUAUCAGGAGGGAACACCCGGUGGGCGAAGGCGGCGACCUGGUCCGAUACUGACGCUGGAGGCGACGGAAAGCGUGGGGAGCAAACAG